rnacentral:rRNA from 1 species
CCCCGGUAAACGGCGGCCGUAACUAUAACGGUCCUAAGGUAGCGAAAUUCCUUGUCGGGUAAGUUCCGACCUGCACGAAUGGCGUAAUGAUGGCCAGGCUGUCUCCACCCGAGACUCAGUGAAAUUGAACUCGCUGUGAAGAUGCAGUGUACCCGCGGCAAGACGGAAAGACCCCGUGAACCUUUACUAUAGCUUGACACUGAACAUUGAGCCUUGAUGUGUAGGAUAGGUGGGAGGCUUUGAAGUGUGGACGCCAGUCUGCAUGGAGCCGACCUUGAAAUACCACCCUUUAAUGUUUGAUGUUCUAACGUGGACCCGUAAUCCGGGUUGCGGACAGUGUCUGGUGGGUAGUUUGACUGGGGCGGUCUCCUCCUAAAGAGUAACGGAGGAGCACGAAGGUUGGCUAAUCCUGGUCGGACAUCAGGAGGUUAGUGCAAUGGCAUAAGCCAGCUUGACUGCGAGCGUGACGGCGCGAGCAGGUGCGAAAGCAGGUCAUAGUGAUCCGGUGGUUCUGAAUGGAAGGGCCAUCGCUCAACGGAUAAAAGGUACUCCGGGGAUAACAGGCUGAUACCGCCCAAGAGUUCAUAUCGACGGCGGUGUUUGGCACCUCGAUGUCGGCUCAUCACAUCCUGGGGCUGAAGUAGGUCCCAAGGGUAUGGCUGUUCGCCAUUUAAAGUGGUACGCGAGCUGGGUUUAGAACGUCGUGAGACAGUUCGGUCCCUAUCUGCCGUGGGCGCUGGAGAACUGAGGGGGGCUGCUCCUAGUACGAGAGGACCGGAGUGGACGCAUCACUGGUGUUCGAGUUGUCAUGCCAAUGGCACUGCCCGGUAGCUAAAUGCGGAAGAGAUAAGUGCUGAAAGCAUCUAAGCACGAAACUUGCCCCGAGAUGAGUUCUCCCUGAGACUUAGAGUCUCCUGAAGGAACGUUGAAGACGACGACGUUGAUAGGCCGGGUGUGUAAGCGCAGCGAUGCGUUGAGCUAACCGGUACUAAUGAACCGUGAGGCUUAACCUUACAACGCCGAAG